rnacentral:tRNA from 1 species
GUAUCGAUAGCUUAAAUAAAGCGUAACAUUGAAGCUGUUAAAAUGAGUAAUUCUCUCGAAACA